AUUGAACGCUGGCGGCAGGCCUAACACAUGCAAGUCGAGCGAGCGGCGGACGGGUGAGUAAUGUAUGGGGACUGCCCGAUAGAGGGGGAUAACUACUGGAAACGGUAGCUAAUACCGCAUACUAUCGGAUAACCCAUAUGGUAUUAGCUAGUAGGUGAGGUAAUGGCUCACCUAGGCGACGAUCCCUAGCUGGUCUGAGAGGAUGAUCAGAAACACUGGGACUGAGACACGGCCCAGACGCCAACGGAGGCAGCAGUGGGGAAAAUUGCACAAUGGGCGCAAGCCUGAUACAGCCAUGCCGCGUGUAUGAUGAAGGCCUUCGGGUUGUAAAGUACUUUUGGCAGAGAAGCGGUAUCUGCAGAAUAAGCACCGGAUAACUACGUGCCAGCCGCCGCGGUAAUAC
rnacentral:rRNA from 1 species